rnacentral:rRNA from 1 species
CUACAGGGUGAUGCUGAGGACUCUGACAAGACUGCCAUCGUAAGAUGUGAGGAAGGUGGGGAAUGACGUCAAAUCAGCACGGCCCUUA